rnacentral:lncRNA from 1 species
GGGAGAUAAUUUUUUCAUACAAUGACACUUAGAAACUCCAUAUGGCAGUUGUAGAUGUUAAGAUUUUUUUUAUCUGAAUUUCUUUCUCUUGAGAAUAAGCUGGGUGUGCUGCCUCUUUCCCAGCUUUCACAAAGAAAAAUAUUUAGACCACAUCACCAUUUACUUUUUCCAAACUAUAUUUUUCAAUAUAUUUUAAAGGUCACUAAUUCCUUGUACUAUUAAAUAGCAAGUGAUUGUGUCUUCUUCACCAGAUAUAAUCUCAGAAAUUUGUUUGGUUAUAAGGGGUGUUUCUAUGUAAUAAGAGAAUUAAAAGCAACAACAACAAACUCAGUUUGAAUUUCCUUUCCUAGUACAAAUUAGCAGAACCUGAGCCAACAGUUGUAGGGGCCACUAAAUAAACUUUUCAAAUGGAUUGCUUUUAGUGAGACUGUGGGAAGAAGAGAAGUAUUUCUUUCUUGUAUUGCACUGAAUGGUAUUGCAAACUGUCAUGUUUCAAUGCUGCUGGGAGAUUCUGUAGUACCAUGGGAAUACCAACAGCAAUUUUAACACUAGUUUAUAGUAAUGACAAUAAACUAGUCUUUUAAAAACUAAUCCCGUGAAAUGUAAUGGUCGUAUCUGGUAGACAUAGUCUAUUAGUUUAGGAAUCUCAUACUAAGUUGAGUUUGUAAGAUGAAAUUGAAGAUUAUUGAAGAGACUUGCAUUUUAACAUGCAAUAUAUUGGUAUCAGUACCCUUGUCAUUGCCUCUGAAACACAGAUUGUGUUAUGAGCAAUGAACUACUAUUUCACAAAACACUGAAUACUUAUACACACUCAUCAAAGUGCUUGCAGUCAUGAGCAGAGGUGAAGUUAGACUUAAUAAAAGUAUUUCUUUAAGAAGGUGCAGCAGCCAAUGUUUCUCGAGAUGUAAUUGCAAUGCAAAUACAAUGUUCUCUUCAAAGUACAGGAUUAGUACAACAGGAGUUGUACUUACACAAUUGUUAAACUAUCAGUGGUUAAGAAGGUUAAGUGGUUAAGGAAUAUCUUAGACAAAUUUAUGCACCUUGUAACUUGUUAAAAGGCCUUUGGAGAUUAUUACAGAAAUAUUUUUGAUACUGUAGUUUACAGUAAUAACAAAUACAUUAGAUACAUUUCAGUCCUAUAUGGGCAUGUAUAUUUUAUGAUUCAAGAGCUUUUUAUUUCAGCAUGAACAUAACAGAUUAAGAUAUUUAUAUUCAAAAGUUAGUAGCUGAGAUAGUUUCCAGGUGAGCAAACUUUCUUUCCAAAUGUCUCUCUCUUCUAAAGAAUUCCUUUUCUGUAAUCUAUCCUAAUUCAAAGAGCCAAAACAUUCUCUAGAGUAAGCUAUCCUUUGUUUUCCUUCCCUUCAAAAAUCAGUCAUAAACCAUUCCCUUAUCUAAUAUCAACUUUUAUCAACAUGCAGCACAUAAAAAAUUUGCCUCAGCAAUCAAUUAUCUUAUAGAUACAUAGUUGGCAAUAGGUCUGACAUUUUUGCUUUGUUGAGAGAGGGACCAAGAAGAAGAAAGACAGAGGAAAGCAGUCAGAGUUUGUAUUUGAUUUAUUAUUAGCUGUACAAACAUAAAUACAUAUUUUUUAGGUCAUAUAUAACAUAAUUUGAAUGUAUUUUCCAAAAGUAGACAUUAAAUAUGGGUCUUAUUCACUAUUUUAUAGAUAAGCUAUUACAGCAUUUAAGCACAUCCGGUGAAAGAGAAUAAAGAAUGUCAUAUUUAGUAAUUCUUUCCUAGGAAUUGGAAAUGCUCCUUUGUAAAUUAAUCAACUAAUUAUUUAUUGGCCUAAUAAGGUUCAUGAAGGUAGAAGGUGUCCCCAUUUGGGGCAGAGUUCCUUGCUUGGUUUCUUGGGCCAGUUUGGCUAGAACUAUAGAACUAGUACACCUUGUGCUAUCAGACAGCUGACUAAUAGCUCCAAAAUAUGGAGAUCAACAGUGAUUUCAAACAUCCCUGGUGUUCCCUUCUCCCUGUUGUACUAUCUACAGACUUACUGGCUUUUAAGAUGGAGCUGGAAGCCUCAAUGGUGAAUGCUGAAGAGAGUAGCAUUUUUCAGAGAACCUGACUUGAACCACAGUGGUGUUUCAGAUCUCAGUAUUUAAAAGUGGGAUGAUAGUAUUGCCAGAUCAGCUCACAGGGCUCUGGAGAAAAUGUAGCAGCAUCUGCAAGUUUGUUGGUUUUGAAGAAUUCCAAUUCCUGAUCAGCAUUUGUACUUCAAUUGAUAUAAGGCCAGGCCACUUAAAUGAAAUUAUCAUUAGAGCAGUGUUUGGAAUUUGUAUGAACAAUAACAAGAGAUCAAAUAUUUUGUGGUUGCUUAUUGAUUGAGCAUCAUCUGCUCUCUGCACUGGAAGAAUACUUCGGCACUGUCAUGAAAAUAAUGACUGAAACAUAGCUGGGGAAGCUGCUGUGCCUCUUCACUUCCACAGUUUCCCAAGUUUCAAGUCUGUGUCCUCCUGACUGCACAGGAGUCUUUAUCAGGGGUGAGGAAGCUGUCUUGUAACUGCUUAUUAUUUGAUGCUGUUGGCUAAGAUAACUGGUGACAAAGUUAAAGGAAAGUGUAUUUGGUUGUGCUUACUUCUCUGGGACUCAGGCAGCAGAUUGCACUGUUUUAAAUACUUGGUCAUUAUCAUUUUAUUUCUAUUCUCUGUGGAUGCCUGCAAAGCAUAAAGACAGAAGAAUCAGGCUUUCAAGUGAUGCCUUUCAUCUCCCCAGAGCGAUUUCUGAGAAUAUGGAAGGGAUGAAAGCAAAGCUGUGGUGUUACCAUCCCUUUAGACAUCCUGGGUUUUCCCCCUCCCCACUGUGAUUUCAUCUCCUCCCUCACAGCAUCAGCAGCUGGAGCUGAGCUCUGGGGCCCUGCUGAGCUGUCCCUGAGGCACUGCUGCACCUCCCUGACCUCCACAGGGCUCACAGCCCAGCUGCAGUCAUCAGGGCCUCAUCCCAAGCCCAGGUUUUCCCCAUGGUUCAGCACUAGACAGAGAACCAGACGGAUUUUACUAAGUGUCUUUGCAAUGGGAGAUCUGGUUCUGUUUUCCUCUGAUAUCUGUUUUCAGUUUUUCAUGUAAUAAAAAUACAAAAGAAAUCAAUUAUUUCCUUAAAAGGAGCCACAGACUAAACCGAAUGUGUUCCCUUUCUCUCUCCCCUUCUCUCUCUCUCUCUCUUUUUCUUUUCUCCAAAGAUAUUAAAGAAAUCAUAAGAUACAUUCACCCAUCACCUUGCAGCUUCUCCUAGUAUUGAGACCUUUCAGCAUCUAAUGGAAGCCAGUGUGAAUGCAGUUUUCACACAGAUAUGCCUUCAAUUUUACUUUUUGCAUCAACCAUUGUGAAACAUGUGAAAAAGGCCAGAAGGAUUGAGACUUGACUGAGGAAAAGUUUGCUCUGUAGAAAGAGGUUUAUAAGUGAAAAAGAGACUGAAAAUAUCCUUGCAAAGAUCACACUUUCUGAGCGUGAAUAAUAGAAUAAGAACAGCUUGAAUUGCUCUAGAAAUCAAGGAUUCAUCGUCAGGUGUGCUGUUUACUUGGAAAUCCAAAACCGAAUAAACAAGGAAGGUAGAAUACUUGUUACAUAUUGUGAAAAGGAAAUAAAAUUUAAGAAAGAACCAAAAUAAUGGUGUUUCUAGGAUUUUUAAAAAGACAUACUGUGUUGAUCUGUAGUAUUAGAUAUGUUGUGCUGUGUUUUAGUUGCAUACUAGCCCAGUCUGCUUUAUGCCUCUCUUGACAGAUUGAAGUCAAUUGCACAAAGUGUGGAGCAUCCUUUCCUCUCUGGAAGACAGAUAAUUUCCAUUUCUCUCAUUUCUCCAAAACAGGCAGACAUUAGGCUGUAAGUCAUGUGCUGUGCUUUUUACAAUUCAGUGAAAGUGGAAAAUAAUGAACUCCAUAAGAUGCCUGUGAAAUCAGAUGCGCAUAGAAAUAGCAUGUCUUUUCCCUCUUCUUGUCUUCGGAUACUGGUAGGCUGGAGUAACUGAUCUCAGAUACCUAUUUCGUCAUUAGUCUCUGAAUAAUCAAAGGUUUUCAAGCAACAUAGUACUCCUGAAUUUAUUAUAAAAGUAACAAUUUACAUGAAUGUGAUCUUUAACUGACUGUUGGAACUAGAUGAUCUUAAAGUGUUCCUUCCAACUUAAACCAUUCUAUCAUUCUAUAAUGCUGUUGAAGUCUGUUAUAAUUAUUAGUAAUACUCUACUUACAGGGUUCACCUAGUGCAUAUUAUGCAUUAUUUCCCUCUGCAAUUAAAUAGAUAUGCCCUAUAACUUCAGUACAGGAAAUCUACUAUAUAAUGAUUAUUCUUAACUGCACCGUUGAGUAUUUACCAUCAAAAUAUUUUCCUCUGAAAUUAAUAUCUUAUGGUUACAUUCAGCACGGCUGUAUAUCAAAAUGAACACAGUAGAGAAUCAAUAUAGUUAUUAACUGACUCACUCACUGGAUAUGAUAAAUGAGGGGUCAGAUUAAAUUCAACAAAAUUUUAUUUGAUACUCUACUGUCAGAAAAAUCUUCAUGGGAUUUUUUUCUUCUUCCAAAUUGCCUUUUUUUUUUUUUUUGGUUGUAAGAAUCCUUAUAACUGUUCACAUUGCAGAACUGGAGCCACAUCACUCACUGAGAUUUGUGAAAUAGGUAAUUCAUAUUCAAAGUAGUCAUUCAAAUUAUCAAUAUAAAAUGAUCAUCUGAUUUGUGAUGCAAAAGGGCUUGAUACUAUCUUAUUUUCAUCUGACUUUCUAAAGAACAGGUUUCUGUUAUCACACUGUCUGCAUCUCUUGCAUAUCCUUCUCUAGAUUCUUCUGACUUCACUUGAUAAUCUUAACCAAAAUCUUGAUUAAAGAUGGAAGCACUCUCAAAACUAUAUCUGUAAUGUUGCAUUUGGUCCCCACGCUAGCUCUAUGCACCACCUUCUCUCUGACCUUUUGGUUUCCUUGAGAAAGGUACCAAUGGCUGGAGGCUGUGAGGAAAUCAGAAAGUUUUGUCUAGUACUUUAGUUUGGGUGACUGGGGGGCCAGGACCCUGAGACACACUUAGCCUGAGUCUCAUCAAACAUAGUUAUGUUCAAGUUUCAAGCUGAUGAGAAGAGCUUGGGCAGGACCUCAGGAGACUUUUUAGGCAUGAGUGUCAAUCGGUAUAAAGCCAGUUAACAUUCAGUCAGUGCUCAUGAGAAUAUUUUUUUUUCUUCUUUGUUUAGUGUCAUUUUUUUCACCCAGUUUACCUUUUAUCACCAAACAUGAAUUACAUACAUUUUAUGUACCAGUGCAUUCUCAUCUAAGAGUAAAUGUGUUUUCAGAAACAGCUAUGAAAUAGAUAGCAAUGAAAUGGCCAUUUACCAUUCAGUUAUUAAGAAAACUAAAACCUGGAUGGAAAACAUUCUGGAUUAUUUUUAUUUUAAUUAUAUUAUUUCCAGUGACAAAUAUUUCUGUUUUACUUCCUUGGUGUAGUUAAGAAAAGAAUUUAUAAGAUGCUUCACAGUUUUAGAAGAUUCUGCUGAAGUGUGCCUGAAAUGGUUGUUCUCUUGGAUGGGAAUUCUUUCACUGACUUGUUUAAUGCUUCAGUUAUAUUCAGCUUUGAGCACUUACAUUCACUUGCAGCUUCUUUAUGUCUAGCAUCUUGCCCCCAAGACAAUAUCACAUCUCCCUGGUCAUUCUCCAGUCAGGAAACAACAGCACAAGUUUCAGUAGAGUUAGAUAAACUAUAAAUCUUGUGCAAUAGGAAUAAUGUGGUAAAAUCAGCACUGUUGCUUUUGUUAUGAAGUUUAAAUUUCUUCACCAUCUUCUGAGGCAAGCUUUUCUAUUUGAGACGCUGAACUGGUGAAAUAAAAUAAUACCAUCUUACUUAUUCUCAUUUUACUUUCUAAGUAGUGUUCAGUGUCAGAUCAGUUUGUAGCUGGAUUUGUUAUUUGAUCCAGUGUGUUAGUCUUGUUUUUUUUCUCAUCUAGCACCUUCUGAAAUUACAACAUUUCUCCAGGAAUUAUCUGUAGUCUGGCCUCCUAACAUGAAACUGAAAAAUGAUUAAUUGUUUUUAAUAUGCUUAAUAUGUUUAGGUUCUUGUAUGUUUAUUUUGUUCUCUUACAUUUACUUUUUCAAUAAUCUUUCAUGCCUGUCAAUGAAAUAAAUUUAAAGUGUAUCUUAAAUGUUUGACCAUUUCAGUCUAUUCUAUGGUAGAAAUUUAUUAUGCUAAUUAAAAUAAUCUUGGAAAUAACUUGAGCUGUUUAAUAUCGUAAUGUGAUGAAGAUCCAAAGUAACAAGCCUGUUGCCUUAAAUUUAGCAGCAAGAAUCAUAUAUCACUGAAUUGUGAGCUGCCAUUUGUUUGUAAUUGAUAGGUUAUGUGCACAGAUCUGGUUCUACAGCUCCAUGUUUAUCAGUGGCUCAAUCUUCUGGUACCUUCUGCUUUAUGGUACAUUUGUAUUGUGCUCCAUCUCUUUAGUUUUAAAGGUAAAUAUUAACUGUUCAUUUCAAUGAACUGACAUUUUCAGCUGAAGACCUAGGCUGAUCACAGGUUUCUUUAAUGGCUACACAGGAAAAAAGGUUGCCAAAGGGCAUUUGAUCAGAAUGUUGACACAUCUGCUAUUCUCUGAGAGACAGCUGCCCAUGUGUGGCAUCCAGCAAGGGCUGGGGUCUGCCAGCUCCAUUACCACGCAAGCUCAGGAACCACUGAGUUGCGGUCUGGGAUACCCAUGUUGAGGUCUCACCCAUGAGCAUGUGGAGAGGGUCUCUGAGAGCACCAGGACAUAAGGGAGUUUGGAGGGGACUGCUGGCAGCCAUCUCAGGGCUCUGCCUACUUCCCUUCAUCAGGAGCCCAUGGGAGCACUUGGUGCUCAGGUUGAAGCCAGAACAUCAUCUUCCCUGUUGGAGUUUCUGUGCUGGAUCCUUAGCCCUUAAGGAUAAAGCUUCUACUUCUGACUUUUAUGCAGUUUGACAUAUUAAAAUUUGCUGAUGAACAAUGCUAGAGGUGCCUUGGGCCCCAGCAAUAUGGAACCAAUCAUGCUUGAAACAUAUGAUACGUAUAAUAUUGCUUCAGAAGUAUUUUUUAUUUCCUGCUCAAAGCAGCUGCACCAACACAUGUAAUGAAGUUAGGACAAACAAACAAUUGGAGUUUGCUAAAGUAUUUUUUCCUUCUUCAAACUCUCACUCUUACUUCCUAUAUAGUGUUAUACUUUAGUUAAGUGACAUUAAAGCUGUGUCCUGGCCAGCAAUGAUAUACUCUGGAAACACUUCUAAGUAAAUCAGACACAAGAUAUUCUUUGUCAUCUGUGGUUCCAUUUUCAGUUCAUUGCUGUGAUGAUGAAUGAGUCCCUUACUGUGAGAAGUCUAAUUUCCUGAUCUCCAGCACUAUAGGUUUACUGGUUUUGCUUUUUAAAGGUGACAUAUGGUUUCCUUCCAUUUGUUCAUUAGGUAUUGUUCUGUCUCUACCAACACAUAAAGUGAAGUUUCUGAUAAGGUUAUGCCUUACUGGGCAGUUUAUCUGAAAAGUAGAGUAAGUUUUUCAACAUGGAUGUGGGAUUUAGUCUGUCUUUGCCAUCUUCAUGCUCUUAUUCAUAAUUUUGAUGUGAGUGCUUUUGUUAUUUACACUGGCAUUGUUCUCAUCAUAUCUGUGUAGCUUAAAGCAUAUCAUUUUUCAGUGUUCAUUUGUUACUACUUUGGGGUCUCUGCUUUCAGUUAAAGUUCUAAUUAUUUCAGGGGUUCCCAUGGAUAUAUUGAAGGUCUUAUUUGGUUUCAAAAGUACUGCCCCUGUACUUCCCAUGUUCAACGUAUACGAUAUUACAAAUUGACAUUAUCUAGAGAUACCUGUAGAUACCUGUAGAUCCUUGUAAACCCAAGUACCUCUUGCUGUGUUGUGUGAUUUCUUGUCAGAAUUCAGUUCUGCAAAAUUAAUACCAAAUAAGAUAGAAAAAAUAUUAAUAUCCUUGUCAAAUAUUUCAUUUCAUUGUAGUACUAUUUUGUCUGGAGUUUGAGUUUAUAAACUUAGAGUAAUUAUUGACUCUGUGCUUUCUUUUGAGGCUGACAUUAAUCACCUUGAGAAAUAAGAUUUCCAGCUGGAAGAUGCUAACAAACUACUGUAAACUGUUAAAUUAACAUACUACCAUUCUACAAAGCUUUCCUGGUUUAGAUGCAGAAAUUUUAAGUUGAUUGAGACGUGUAUGUUCCAUUAUGACCUAGAUAAUAAUUGCUAAUUCUCUAUUUGUGGCUCUUUCUCCUGUUUCCCUGAAGUAUUCACAGCUGUGCUAACAGAACCCUGAAUACAGUCAAUGGGAGCAUUUUGCUGCUUUAACAAGAAAGGACUUCAGCCUAAUAUCAAAUUUUCCAGGCAAAUGCUUACAUGCUUGGUCAUUUGUUUUCUUAAGGAUAUGGUUUUUACUAGCUAGUAUUCAGCUCAGGUAAACAAAGAGAGGAGGGACACCUGUUGUAUGGCUACUCUUCUCUCCAAGGAAUGAAGUUAAAUAAUCUUCCAUUGUAGGAAGGCACAUUUCAUUAUGUGGCACAAAAGCGGUAGCUCUUAUGAAGAGAUUUUCAGAGAGAAUGCCUGUGAUCUAAUAAUAGAAGACAAAACCUUCCCAGAAGUACUUACUUUCAUUUAGUAUGAAAAAAAGAAAGCAUUCUUUGGGUUAAGAAAAAAAGUUAGAUUGCAAGUGAGAAUCACUUGAUAUCUCCAGCUAAUUUGCUGUUGUGGAAGAUUAAUAGGAAAGAGAAUUCUGGACACUCAACUUAAUACUACUUUGUGUGCAUAUGUAUAAGUGAUUUGAUGACAUUUGUAGCUUACUGUAAAUUUAUUCAUAUAGAGCUGUACUGAUUGACAUGAUGUAUUUUUCCACUUCAUGUCAUUUGUUUACGUUGUAAUUUGCCUUUUAGUUUGCAGUGUUCACUUCAAAAUCACCAACAUACAAUGCUAACUCUAAAUGAAAUUCUUCUUAGACCACAGGGGUUUUAACUGUAAACUAUGACAGGGUCAAAACCUCCUUUGUUUAAUCAUCAGAUCACCCUAUAGGAUAUGGUAAUCACUGAUCUUGCUUUACACAGAAGAUAGGCUAAAGGUCGUUCUGAAAGUAAUGUCUGCUAUUUAUUUCCAAUGGAAACUACAACAGAUACAAAGAGCACAGUAACACUGUUUGAUAGAGCAAACUCUUAGCUACGAAUCACUGUUUUUCAACAAAGUCAACACCAUUAUGUAUUUUUGGCAGUGAUGAACAGGAGCCUGCAUGCUCUGCUCAUAAAAAUCUGCUUCAGUGGAGGUGAUACAAUUUUGCUGUUCCCACUGCUGAAAUGCACCACCCACCACUUCAGAGUACUCACAUCCACUGUUUGGUCUCCAUAAACAUUCAACAAGCAUUGGUGAAUAUCAGUGAGUUCUGUUUUUCAUCAUGACAGAAUAUGGUUCCACAUCUUUGCCUCAUCUGCACUACCAAGUCAGGUGCCAUUUUGUCAGACUGCCCCUCUGCUGCCAUGUGUCAUACAGAAGCAAGAUGUAACAGGAAAUUGGCAGGAAGGUUAAACCUCUACUGCCACACCACCAACAUCCACAUCUGAUGUUGUGGGCCAACAUAAUAAAAUAGGAGGCAUUACUUUCAAAGCAGCUCUUGUAAAUGCAAGGAAAUUGCUUACUGGCCACAUGCUUUUGCAUAAUUGCAAGUACACCCUUUUUUUUUUUUUUUUUUUUUCUGAUUUAAAGGCCUUUAUUGAAUGCAGCAUGGAAAUGAAGGGAAGAUGAGCUGUUUAAUAGCUUCUGUUACUGUCAGAAUUUCAGUCGUAUGUAUUGUUCUUCGAAGACGACUGAAGUAAAGGUGCUCAAACUGUUAAAUAGAAGUUGUAUUUUUCCUUGUAGAAUCUGACCCUAAGGGUUAUUUUACACCACAAAGUAUGUCUGUUCUCAUCAGAAAAUUGUUUCUUCUGCUUAGUGAAUAACAUUUCUGUACCUGUGUGAAAAUGUAUGUUUUAUUUUUAGGAAUGUAUAUUAAGUUGCUAGACCAUAAUAAUAUAAGUUAUUAAUAAAGAGCAUCCUUAUGGAUUUAUUUGUAAUAUACUAGUGCCAAAUCCUCAGAUUAAAGCCAUUAUAUGAGAGCAAAUUCUUCCCAUUUUCCCCUAGCUUAAACCUUUCUUAACUUUUAAGAUGAGGCAGGCAAGCAAUGUCAACUUUUAAUGAAGAACUUGUUAAUUACUUCUGGAUAACCUCUGCUGGUGAAAAUGGUCAUAAUUCCCUAAAGUUAUCUACUUUAAAGAAGUUAGAGCAUUGGCUGAACGCGAUUAUGUCUCUAGAAAGUUGUGCUAUUAAGUCGUAUUAAAAAUAAUAGCAUAUUUCCCUCCAGCUAAUACAAAAUAUUGGAAAAGAUAGUUUCCAAACUGAUCAGCCAUAUACAACAUAGGUUUCUAAUGUAGAAUGUAGUGUAGUUGUGAUGGUAUAAGGAUGGCCUAAUUACUCCCAAUUCUUCAUAUAACUUGAAGUUUUUUUCCUUUUCAUCCAGAUCUGAAGAAUAAGUUUACAUGCUUGAAAGCUUGUCUGUGUUUUUGUUGUUGUUGUUUUUUUUCUUUUAAUUUUAUUUUUCUGAGUAAAUACAUAAUUUUAUAUUUCCUUUCACAAGUUAGUUCUCACAGAUAUAGUCAUUUAGUCGAAGCAGUAGUUCUCACUUAGGUACUACCGUUACGUAACUAUAUACUGAUAGAAUAAACUAUUUUAUCAUUAUAAAUAACCAAAUAAUAGAAUUAAAUAUCCCUUAAGACAUGUUAUAAGGUAUUUCUAAUAUAAAAUGAAAGUGAAAGCCAGAAUAAAUCAAAAUAGUAAAGAAACAGGCUGCUAAUUUUUUACCUCAACUUAAUAUGUGGUGGCCUGUGCUGCUUUUCUUUUUUUUUUUUUUUUUUUUUCUGAUGCCUCUUCCUGAAUUCAUCUGGAUCAGUAGAAGGGAAUCAAUGGAAAUUGAUUCAAUUUGUAGAACACAAUUCUAAUAUUGAUAGUAGUUUAUAUUCAUUUGCUUCACCCUAAUCUUUUAUUAGUGGUCAUUUGCAAAUGCUACUCAUGACAUUUCUUCCAAAUUUUGUAACCUCAAGGUGGUGAUAGUGAAAGUUAGAGAAACAAAGCAAAAAAUAAUGGAGUAGUAUGUUUGUUUUUUUUUUAAUAAAAUAAUGCAGCAAUUGCUGUUUUUGUAGUCAGGCAUUGUUCAGUAGGUGGCUUUAAUUUCAGAUAAAGUAUGAUCAGUGUAGUAUUUCAUAUAUGAGAUUCCCACAGUAGUAAGAAGUAGUGCCUGCUCAGAUCUUUUCAGCGUUAUUUGUGUCAUCUGGGAAGAUGGGCUGGGGAAUCAAUACUGAAUCAUUUGGGGACUUUUAAGAAUGCAUCUUCAAUAAGUCUUGUCAUAUAGACAUAUCUCACUGGUACAGAAGAAGCAAUAACUGAUGGCUUAACUUUCUGUUACUGUAAAAACAUCAGUAGUGACCAUCACAUAGAGAGCUGAGCUGUGGUGAAAAUAAUGUUUAAAACAAUAUUUGAGGCUAGGGUUGCGCCAGCCAUAUGAAAGUAGGUGUGAAAGUGAACGUGAAUGAUUAGUUUUAGGUGUUGUAGGUGAGGCAAUGAAAAGCAAGUAUUUAGUAUUUGGAUUUUCUGACCAUUUCAGAGAUAAUUAAAGACAUGUAAAUGAAAGCAUAAACUGUGUCUAGUGGCUACUGCUGCAGUUCAAUGAAAUGGAUUAAAUUAAAGAUUUUUAGUGGAAAUUUCAGUAAACAAGAUUCCACACGUUCAUGAAGAUUUUGACACUCUCCAAUUUCAAUUGGGCAACCUAGAGUUGUUCAUAACUUAUAUGAUUAAGCCAAGUCCUCUUGCUACUUUGCAGGUGGCAUCUGAGUUGGGCUGCACUGACUAAGACUGAAAUCCUUCCACUAAAAAUCUAGACCAUGCACUGUUAGGAAAUGUAGCACUUUCCUGUCAAGUCAAAAUAUAUGAUUUUUUUCUAAUGCCAUGAGGUACUUGCUUAAUUUAAUGAAUGGUGGCUCUGGAGAUGGCUGUGGAAAGAAUAAAUUAGACUUUUUUUUUCAUCACGGUGAGGGAGUUUUGCUUCUGUAAUGGGGUGUAUCACAAAUGCUCCUGUGAAAGAAAAGUGUCAUAGCAACUGAUAACUGAUCUCCUUUUUCUCUAUUGGGUAGUCAAGGCAUCACGUUUUGUUGUCCUCUUCCAAGGCAUACCCUUUUGAAACAAACUGGUUUAUUGGGGAACAAAAAAGUAAAUGAAAAAAAUAUAUAUAUUCUUUUACCUUAUUUCCGCAGUUUUACAUGCUUAAAAGUAAAAAAUAAUUAAUUUUAAAUGAAAUGUUGAGAUUUUUGCUUAAUUUUUAUUUUAGUUUUUAAUGAAUCAUCCAGUUACUGCUUAAGCAUCUUUUAAAGUUUUAUUUCGCUGAAAAGAGACUUUUCUGAGCAGCUGGGAUAUCAGAAACUGUGGCUUAAAUCCUUUCUGAUUUUGAGAUUCUGAAGUUCAACGAAGACAUACAUCUUUACUGGAGGGAUGUUUUAAUGGACAUUUCUGUCAUUUCCAUGAAGCCUCUACCCUGUUAUAUUAUUUUGAAAUAAACAAGAGCCUUGCUGUAAAGUGAUUGUGGCAUUUCCCUGAGUUCAGUACCUUCUUUGACUUGGAACAAACUAAAUUUUUCAUACAGCAUUUGAAUUUUCCAGAUUAUCACAUUCAUUUCCUUCUGUCUAUUUGUUGUUUGUUUGUUUGUUUUGCAUGGCAACUAGUUCAAAUAGUGUAGUGAGCUGAAAUUAUUCAUUAUGUUUAGCGUAGCCAAGUGGAAAUUUCCUGAUCCUACAGCAAGUCAAGGGAAAUACAUCAUAUCGCAACUCUCAGGUCCUUCACCACGCAUUCAAUGGGAUGCCUUCAUAGCAGUUUUAUGAUGAAAUGUACCAUUUAAGUCAAUUGUGUGAAGCUAGAUCUUGUGAUAGGGCUACAAUUAAAUGCAGCCCAGUGCAAGAAGCUAAAUCCCUAAAUACAGGAGUUGUGUGCAGAGUUGUUCUUCAGUGAAAUGUGGAGAAUUCACCCACAGCAAGAACUGAACUUCGGUGAUUGUCUUUAGCAAAAGCAGUUUUCACAUGUAAUUUAACACUGGAUGAAUAUCGUAUUUAUGACCAAGUUGAAAAGUUGAAUUUCUCAAAGAAGGUGUGAGUGAAAAACCUGUAUAUAAUAUGUAGUGUAAUGAAUGUAUUGUCGUUAGCAGAUAUCAUGUAAAUAUCAGUGGGGUUAAAAAUAGACUAACCCCCUCAUUUCAAUCAUUGAAGGGACUAAAGGCAAGAUUUUCAUGCCUAAAUGGCUCCAAACAGUUGUAGCCUCAUUUUAGAGCUGCUAUUGGCUGGAGCAAAUGCACAGAAUUCUUGAAAUGGAGACUGCUUCUGUUUAACCCCACAAUGUAGGCCUUGCUAAAGGGUGUGAGCAGUGGCUGCUCUUUGAGAUGUCUUCCAUGAGGAUGUUGGCCCUCUCUUGGGAACGCUUUGUCCUAAGCAGUAUCUUGGAUAGAAUAGACCAAUUCAUUUUGCAAUCAUAUUUUGCGCAUGACAGUACACCUUAGGCUCACAUGAGAACAUGCCAGGAGUUUUCUGCACAUCUUCCUUCUUAAUCAUUUUGAGUAGUGUAUGGUUAAAUCUCCUAGAAGGCAAUUAAUCUUUCAACAUGACGAUCAGCAGGUUCAUUGCUUGAAAUUCAGUCUCAGCUUUCUGUCGUUGGUUAUAAACAUUUUCCCAAAAGAAGGUAGGCACAGGCUCUGCAUCUUAUUUUAAUAAAGAAGUCCCGUCCUUCUUUUCUUUACUGCUGUAAUUUAAAACCUCUGACCCAAUCAGCCCCUGAAUGCAAAUAAGUGAGCAAUCUAGAGAACCAGAAUGUUGAACCAUUCACUCAACAGCCAUUUCCAGACUAGGCUUUAAAGAUGUGUGCGACAUUGGCCAUUAGUGAGUCAGCAAAGAUGAAUGGAUCAGUAAAUGAACAUAUUUCACUUUUUUCAUCUGCCAGGAUGAAACGCCAUCUUAGUCUUGUGUAUAGUUUUGUGUUGUUUUGUUUGUUUGUUUAAAUUUUUUACAACAGUAAUUUCAAAGGCAUGCUGUCAAUUCUUUUAAUUGACUUUUUUUAAGAAAUAUCUUUUUUUCCAUUAUGUCUAAUCCUUUAACCUGAUUGGUCUUGAGGAUUUUUUGUUUGUUUGUUUGUUUUUGUUUUCAUUUUUGUUUGUUUGUUUGUUUUCCGAGAAUUCCUUAGAAAAUAUCUGGAUUUAUGAUUUUUUGUACACAAAUGGAGAAAACAUCACAUGGAGAAGACAACGUUCAACAUCACAUUUUAAACAUCAUAUUAACAGACCUAGUAAAACUUUGCAUCCAGGAAAAAAAGAAAAAAACUACCUAUGUUUUUUGUUUAAUUUCAUGUAUUUUUCCUUUAGGAGUUUUGUGAAACCAGCAUGCUUUUUAGCAGCAUAUACAAUUUAUUGAAAUAGAACAAUUACUUUCAGUCAUCAUGGAAGUGCAGACUAUGUCUCUCUGUGUGUGUGUGCAUAAAACAUAUAUUUUCUAUCCGGGUCUUUAAAAUUAUUCAUAAAUUGUCUGACACACAUCAAGAAGAAAAAAAGAAGUGCAGCCUAUUGUGUUAUUGGUAUUCUUGGGAACAGAUUUGCUUCUUCCAGCUUUUUAACCAAAGCAUGAAUGUUUCAUUUUAGAUAUUAUCUGCUGAACAUUGUGAUAUCAAAAGCAAAUUUAAAAAAAAAUAGAAUUAAAGUUUAAUUUUAAGCUUUACAUUUACAGAUGAGGGUAAAAAGGUAUUUUGAUACUGACAGCAAAUUCCUUCGGGUUGUGCUGUUUUGUUUUAAGAGCCACUAGCGUUCUUACUUUAUUUUUUGCUUUGAAUUAUUUACUUCAUUAUUAUGGGUUACGUUCGCAGUGCUUUAUGGUGUUUUGAUCAGCAAUUUAUCUUGGAGUCUUAAAACGUGUCCAUUUAUGUGUUUAGCUGACCAGCUGCCUUCCUUUCCUUAUUUUUUUUUUUUUAAUGCGACAUGAAAAUUGAGUGUUUCUUUGCGAGCAUCUUUCAGCUCAGAAAACACAUCUUGCUUCCUCUGCUGCUAAACUAUUGCCCUCUGAGAGGGGAGCCCUGCCCCAUCUUGCAGAAGAGGCAGAGCAGCCCCCCUUGCUCGCCAAGACACAUUCACCCCCUCCCAGCCCCUCCCCACAAAGAGGUGAAGUCC